rnacentral:lncRNA from 1 species
AAGCUGCAGCCGCGGCGUCCGGCUGGGUCUACAGUUUUUUUAGUGCAGAGCACGGUGCAGGUACAACAAGAACUCCGCCUUCGGCGUCUUCCCAGUUCCUACAAGUAAGUAAAUACGUACAAUCCGGUAAUCCUACGGUCAUACUGCUACUAGUAUCUUUCUGGUCCAGUAAUCAAGCUGUACAGGAGAGGGUGUCUGCAUGCUAGCUAACUAAUAGAGAAACAUCAGCGCCUGCAGUCCAACCGCAUUUGGCUUCUUUUCCUUGCGGUGAAGUGAAGCACAGGCAGCCAGUGUCCAAAUGAGGGUUUGGUCAAGGUU